UCUCCCCUUCCCGGUUUCUCUUCUUUCCUCGACGGUUCAUCCGUCCUCCAGUUCCUCCAACAAUCAUAUUAAUAGUCCCACUGGACCCAUCAUUCACUGGUCCAGCUCCAGUUCUCCUGGGCAUCUGGGCUGCCGGACCGGGUUGAGGCCUCUGCCCCUCCGGUUUCUUCACAAAAUUUUUGAGAUGCCCCCUUUUUAUCAAUCUUUCAAUCUCCGCGAUUAACUGAAAACAGUUGUUUGUAUCGUGGCCAUGCGUCCGGUGGUACUGACAAUACUUGUCAGGAUUCCUCUGAUCUGCUUCCGACUUCAAAGGUUUGGGCCACUGGAGAAACUCCUUAUCCUGGACAGCCAUGAGCACCUCGGCUCUGGACGCAUUUAAUGGAGUUGGUUUCUCCGGGACCUAAGGAGGGAGCACUCUUGGUUCGAGAACCCGAGGAGGAGGAGGCCUUUGAUCCCUUCUUUCCCAGGCCUGCUUGUACGGCUCAGGCCUCUUUCCACGCUUCUUCUCGUGUUUCUCCGGCCUUCCCUCCUCCGGGGCUUUCUCUUUUCCUGCCACCCCUUUGGCAAAUCUACUCGUUACUAAGGCGUCAUCCUGCCUUAUAUACUUUUCCGCCCUCUUCAUCAACUCGGCCAGUGAGGUCGGAGGUUUCCUGCUCAGAGAACCAAAGAACUCGGCAGAGGUUGUUCCCUUUUGCAUGGCCUCUACCGCNN
rnacentral:lncRNA from 1 species